rnacentral:SRP_RNA from 1 species
GCGGAGACUGGCGCGGGCGGAGGCCUCGCCAACCCGGUCAGGUCCGGAAGGAAGCAGCCGUAACGAGAUCCCCUUCGGGUCGCGUCCAGUCUCCACCUU